rnacentral:rRNA from 1 species
AGUAACACGUAAAGAACCUGCCCAUAGGUCUGGGAUAACCACGAGAAAUCGGGGCUAAUACCGGAUGUGUCAUCGGACCGCAUGGUCCGCUGAUGAAAGGCGCUUCGGCGUCGCCCAUGGAUGGCUUUGCGGUGCAUUAGCUAGUUGGUGGGGUAACGGCCCACCAAGGCGACGAUGCAUAGCCGACCUGAGAGGGUGAUCGGCCACACUGGGACUGAGACACGGCCCAGACUCCUACGGGAGGCAGCAGUAGGGAAUCUUCCACAAUGGACGAAAGUCUGAUGGAGCAAC